GAGUUUGAUCUUGGCUCAGAACGAACGCUGGCGGCAGGCCUAACACAUGCAAGUCGAACGCCCCGCAAGGGGAGUGGCAGACGGGUGAGUAACGCGUGGGAAUCUACCUAUUGGUACGGAACAACCAAGGGAAACUUUGGCUAAUACCGUAUGUGCCCGACAGGGGAAAGAUUUAUCGCCAAUAGAUGAGCCCGCGUCGGAUUAGCUAGUUGGCGGGGUAAUGGCCCACCAAGGCGACGAUCCGUAGCUGGUCUGAGAGGAUGAUCAGCCACACUGGGACUGAGACACGGCCCAGACUCCUACGGGAGGCAGCAGUGGGGAAUAUUGGACAAUGGGCGAAAGCCUGAUCCAGCCAUGCCGCGUGAGUGAUGAAGGCCCUAGGGUUGUAAAGCUCUUUCGGCGGGGACGAUAAUGACGGUACCCGCAGAAGAAGCCCCGGCUAACUUCGUGCCAGCCGCCGCCGUAAC
rnacentral:rRNA from 2 species